CACAAAUAAAAAACAAGGGAGAUAAUUUUGUUAUAAAUGUAAGCAAGCCGGCCAUUACAUGUUCACAGUGUUCACAGAAACAUAAAAAUCCUGGAGAAAACAAUUUGGACAAUAAGAUAUUGGACUGAUGCUGUUCUGGAAAUACAGAACGAAACGUUUCCGAAAUUAUAUGGAUUAGCAUGAACAACUCAGCUUUUUCUUUCUCCUCUCUUUUGACUGAUAUCUUCAAGCAGCACAGUGUGCAUGGUUUUCCAUUCCACUGUCCACUCUACUACUUAUUCUGAUAGACAGUCGUUGCUCUUAUGGAUAUAUGAAAAAUAGAAGUAAAAUGAUAAUUUAUAAUAAUAAUAAUGAUAUGAUAUUGUAAUGUAUUAAUAGGGAAAGAAAAUAAACAUAUGUUUAAAUAGUA
rnacentral:lncRNA from 1 species